GAUGAACGCUGGCGGCGUGCCUAAUACAUGCAAGUCGAGCGAACGGACGAGAAGCUUGCUUCUCUGAUGUUAGCGGCGGACGGGUGAGUAACACGUGGAUAACCUACCUAUAAGACUGGGAUAACUUCGGGAAACCGGAUCUAAUACCGGACAAUAUUUUGAACCGCAUGGUUCAAAAGUGAAAGACCGUCUUGCUGUCACUUAUAGAUGGAUCCGCGCUGCAUUAGCUAGUUGGUAAGGUAACGGCUUACCAAGGCAACGAUGCAUAGCCGACCUGAGAGGGUGAUCGGCCACACUGGAACUGAGACACGGUCCAGGCUCCUACGGGAGGCAGCAGUAGGGAAUCUUCCGCAAUGGGCGAAAGCCUGACGGAGCAACGCCGCGUGAGUGAUGAAGGUCUUCGGAUCGUAAAACUCUGUUAUUAGGGAAGAACAUAUGUGUAAGUAACUGUGCACAUCUUGACGGUACCUAAUCAGAAAGCCACGGCUAACUACGUG
rnacentral:rRNA from 1 species